rnacentral:rRNA from 1 species
CCUAGGGGAGGCAGCAGUGAGGAAUAUUGGUCAAUGGCCGGAAGGCUGAACCAGCCAAGCCGCGUGAAGGACGACGGUGCCAAGCAUUGUAAACUUCUUUUGUCAAGGGACAAAAUCAGUCCCGAGAGCCUGUCCGGGGGUACUUGAAGAAAAAGCAUCGGCUAACUCCGUGCCAGCAGCCGGGGUUUUACGGAGGAUGCGAGCGUUAUCCGGAUUUAUUGGGUUUAAAGGGUAGGUAGGCGGACUGUUAAGUCAGCGGUAAAAGCCCGGGGCCCCACCCCGGCGAGCCGUUGAAACUGGCUGUCUUGAGAUGUCGAGAGGUAUGCGGAAUGCGCAGUGUAGCGGUGAAAUGCUUAGAUAUUGCGCAGAACCCCGAUUGCGAAGGCAGCAUACCGGCGGCGAUCUGACGCUGAGGCACGAAAGCGUGGGUAUCGAACAGGAUUAGAUACCCUGGUAGUC